UUUUUUGAAAGGGUGCUUUUAUGAGAUAGAGAUUUUUUAGAUAAUGCUUUUUUAGAUAAUGCUGGGGAAGGUUUUCCGGUUUAUCUCGGAGGGCUUGUAGCUCAGUUGGUUAGAGCGCGCGCUUGAUAAGCGUGAGGUCGGAGGUUCAAGUCCUCCCAGGCCCACCAAUUUACCUAUCCAUUUGCUUUUAUCUGUUUAUUUGCCGAUUUAUCGGUCCAUUGAAUUUAAGUGUUGGUAGCAGUUUUAUAAUGAUGAGAAAUCAUGCUUAUAAAAGAACUCCUUAUAAAAGGCUUGUUUUUAAAAUGUGACGCUUAUCCAUUUCGCUUAGGCAAGAGAAACUUCAAGCGGUUCAAAUACAAAAGGCUUUAAGUUUUGCAAAACACUUUGAAUUUUGCAAAACACUUUGAAUUUU
rnacentral:misc_RNA from 1 species